rnacentral:pre_miRNA from 1 species
AUAAUACUCCCUCCGUCCGGAAAUACUCGUCGGAGGAAUGGAUGUAUCUAGAUGUAUUUUAGUUUUAGAUACAUUCAUUUUUAUGCAUUUUUUCGACAAGUAUUUCCGGACGAAGGGAGUAGAUA